AUAUAUGGCAUGUACAACCAGUCUCUCUAUCAUUUAUAUAUAUAUAUAUAUAUAGACUGGUUGUACAUGCCAUAUAU
rnacentral:miRNA from 1 species